AGCGUUAAGAGCAGCAGCUGCUCUCACAGAGGAUCCAGGUUCAGUUCCCAGCACCCACCCGGCAGCUCACAACAGAUUAUAAUUUCAGUUCCCGGGGACCUGAUGCCCUCUUCUUGCCUCCACAGGCACUGCACGUAUGAGGCACACAUGCACAUGCAUGUGCCCAUGAGAAAUGCUUUGGAAACAGUUCCAGGAGCUCUGCUGUUGGACACAAUUGUGUGGCCGCCUGUGUUUUUCCCUUUUGUGUUUUUACACUUUCAUCUCAUCACCUACACUCUUUGUGCUGAUCUCCACCACUUCAUAGAAGGUGUUCAUCCGUGGAAUUAAACAGAAAGUCCGUCCUAAACACCAUUCAUCAGAAACUUUAGUCAAUAUUUUCUGAUUCCGCUUUUGUAAAAACCCUGCAAGGGAAGUUUUGACUUUUGCUUUGACCAUGUGAUCAGUGAAGCACAGAGAGGAUCAGCAACUCCCUGGAGGGCACACAGCUGGCAGCAGGGUACUCAAAGGCUUCAUCCAUAUCCAAACUUCGGCAUCUCCUGAGGUCCUGCAUUCUCGGCGGCUCCCAGGGCGGCUCAGCAGGAAGCUGGGCAUGGCCUUGUGCUACCAGGCAGAGCCUGUACCUCGUCAGAGACAGAACAAAGGCAGUUUGGAUUUGGGGUGAGCAUCUAUUCCUUGACAGCUAUGUCAGGAUUUGAUUUGGUCUUGGGUUGUCUUAUUGGUCACUAGCUGCAAUCAAGUCAGGUUCAGUUCCUUCACGUGGGGAUCCUAUGGGGCCUCGUCCUAACUGGAUGCUCUUCAGAAAAACAAAACAACACCAACAAAAAAAGCCCAAGACAAUUAAAAGUACUAGAUAGAAAGCAAGGAUUUCUAAGUGACCUACCUGGAUUGGGUUGGCAUUCAGAUAUCUGCCCCCUGCCUUUCUCCCCACACAAAUUAGUAGUUGUUUUCUGUGGUAUGUAAUAGUUUUACAGUUUUCUCCAAAUGCCUCUUUCAGGUUUAGAUUCAAAUUGGUUUCCAUGGACUUGCCUAGCUGCUGCUGUUUGUGUAUGCUUGUGUAAUACUGACCUGUGCGUGCUUGUGAAAUGACACGAAAUGGUAAACAGAUUUUUCUUUCCUUUUUUAAAGAACUUCCCCUACAAUGAGUGCUUUCAAGUUUUUAAGCUCACCAUGGAUUAGAAUCGUCUGGGGAGCUUUACAGACUUGCCCUAUCUGGCCUCACCCCCAGAUGGAAUCCUUUGCUUUCUGGGACUUGGCUGGGCAUCUUGUUUGGGUCAAGGGAAUAGAAAGUCAAAGAGUAAAAGAAAUAUAUUGUUGGAUUCUGAGUUUGAACAGACUAGCGGUGGGAAGGACAAGACGGAAGAUCUGGCAGGGGGCAGUGAGGCUGCCGGAAACAAUUCCCAGGGCAGCGAGGGAACUCAAGGGUGACGAGAAAGCUGGGGAAACAAUGAGGCGUAUUUAUUUUGGGCUCCUGGACUCAGUGCAGACUGACAUGCAUCCGGGAUUAGUGACCAGGUGGAACACUGGUCAUCUUAACAGGUGUCUUUAUGGUCUGAUGUGUGCUAAGACAUCCCUCCCUUGCCUGCAUUUUUUUGACACAUCACCCCAAUUCCCCAGAUUCUUGGCAAGGGAGAGAGGGAGAGCGCUGGAUUUUGGUGGAGGGAAAGGAAUGUCCAGAAUGAAAAAAUACUCCAUGGAUGUUGAUGAAUGUCUGCGUCAGCAUUAUUUUAAAAUGCUCACUCUUACAUGCAUACGUGUUUAUCUGUGUAUUUGUGCGCCGUGUGCAUGCAGUGCUGGUGGAGGCCAGAAGAGACAUCAUUUCCCUGAAACUGGAAUGAUAGACAGUUGUGAAAGACCAGGUUGGUGCUGGGAACUGAACCCUGGUCCUCUGCAAGAGUAGCAAGUGCUGCUAACCACUGGGCCACCUCUACAGCUGCAGGCUUCUCUUCUGUGUUGGUGCAUUUAAGGGUCCUUCAUUCUUCAAGCAUUUGAAAGCCUUCCGAGAGCACAAGUGUUUGACUCCUCAUUUUCUUGACCUACCAGUUUGACAACUAAAGAAAUAUGGAGUCUCUAUCACUACAAUUCUGUCGACAUUUCAGUUCAUUUAGAAUGCACUUUAAAUUUUACCCAUUAAAAGAUACUUUGUCAUUAAGCCAUCAUACUUUGACUCUUAACAAGUUUUGUGAGCCUUCCUUUUAUGACUUUUAGGAUCCCAUACAUCUUUUAUAUUCCCCAUCCAUUAUUGCUGGUCCUGAACGGUAUCUGCUUUAGAGCAACUGGUGGCCUCCCUCAAAACAGCUAUCCUGCUCCUCUGUCACAUCAGAGCAACAGAAAUAAGAACUUAAAACAGCACUGACAAGUCACCCAGUUUCCAGGUAAAAAAACUUGGCUUUGGCUGAAUCACUGGAACCAGGUACUUAAGAAUGUGGCCCAAAGUAACAACCUAUCUUGAGAGAAAAAUAUACUAUGUUCAUUACUUAACAGUCUUCACAAAGACAACCUACCCUUCUCCUCUGGUGUUAACUGAGGGUGAGUGUAGCCUUGUCUCUCACUAUGAGAUUGUACUUUGAGAAUCCGAAUUGUCAGUGGGGAGUGAUAGGGUCACAGAGUUUCAGCACAGACAUGGACCUGCAGGCAGCAGGACCCACGUGCAGCUGUUUAUUUAAUUGGUAUGUAUUCUUUAUACAUUAUGUUGUUUUAAUUGGUGUGUAUUCUUUAUAUAUGUAAUGAUGAGUCCCAUAAGGACAUUUUUAUUUCUGAAAUAAAAUUUUCCUUACCCUUUGAGAAUUUCAUAGGGGUGUACAAUGUGUUUGGAUCAGACCCUGAAAACAGCAGUUUUACUCUUCUUUGUGGCUGAAUAGAUUCACACCGUGAGCAAGUCACACAUUCAUUAUCUAUUCCUCCUGACGGACAUUGAAGGGAAUUCUGGAACCUAGCUGUUGCGAACAGUACUGAGAUGCACUGACAUUUUCUCCUGCUUUAACCAAAAGAACACAGAUUGGCUUCUUUCCCAGCACUGGACUAAGCUUAAGGCAAAUGACAGACCAGAGAGACCAACAAUAUCCCAGUGACAUCUGUUCUUUUAGCUCUGAUUCUUAUUCUGUGGGUCAAUAAACACCAAUAUACUCUAA